GUGGGGCCUUUUAUUUCCCCGCCCUGUGGCUAUGGCUUCGCUUCCCGGAUCCAAGAUGGCCGCCGGGCUGGAGGCUCAACGGAAGGGAGGGAGCAGACGCUCUGUAAUCACGCUCACCGCAGCCUCUAUGUGUUCUACAGCUCUGACUUCCAGCACUUGCCUACAUGUGCUCCAACUGCCAUUAGGUGGAGGGAGUAGCUGGAGCAGAUUGGCAGAGUUGUUGCUGUGAAAGAUGAGAGGUGAUCUUGCCUCAGGGAUUGCCAUCAGUCUGGUGACAUAAAUGUCAGCGGUCUCCAGGGAUCAAUGAGAGGCCCAGGUGUCCUCCCUCCACUGCCUCUGGCUCCUUGGCCAUGACUGGACCUGCCACAGAAGGCACUGGAUGCACGUUAGUCCUUUCAUUGCCUCUGCAUCAUCCCUUCGCCUCCCAGCUGCUGGUCCGGCCCGCACAGAUCCUUCCUGCCCAGCUUUGUCCUCUGUCCCACGGGCAGAGCUGGUUUUGGUGGAGGCCCACAGAUUGAGGAGCUGGACAGAGAACGCAGGCACUAACAUGGAAUCAGUUGAGGCAUGUUUUGAAGAGGGAACAAACAUUGCAGGAUAUAGAUAUGGGGAAAGGUUUGGAGGGACAGAGCUGUAGCCCUCUUUACUUCCCACACCAUGCAGGUUUAGGUUGCCAACCUCUCGGUUGGGCCAGGAGUCUCCCAAAAUUGGGCUCGAUCUCCUGGAGGCUAGUGAAGACAAUCCGGGAGAUUUUAGGCCACUAAAAAUCCAGCGGCACAAAGGGGCUAAGGCAGGCUUCCUACUUGCCCUGACUCCAUGCUGCUCCUAGAAACAGCGACAUGUCCAGCAAAGGCUCCUAGGUGGAGGCUCAGCCAGGGCAUCUCUGCACACUGCCUCAGCAGCUCCAUUGGCCAGGAAUGGGGAACUGUGGCCAAUGGGAGCUGCGGGGGUGGUGCUUGCAGGCAGGAGCAGCGCGCACGGCCACCUGUGAGCCUAGGAGCCGCUGCCGGACAUGCCACCGCUUCCAGGAGCUACCUGAGGUAAGCGCCACCCAGCCAGAGUCUGCACCCCAAACCCCCUGCCGCAACCCAACCCCCUGCCCCAGCUCUGAGUCCCCUCUCACACUCAAACUCUCUCCCAGAUCCCGAACCCACCCUGCACACCAGCCCCCAGUCCUGAGCCCCCUCACACACCCAAACUCCCUCCCAGAGCCUGCACCCUGAAACUCCUGCCCCAGGUCAGAACCCCCUCCUGCACCUGAACCCCCUCCUGCACCCUAACCCUCUGCCUCAGCCCUGAGCCCCCUCCUGCACCCAAACUCCUCCUUGGAGGCUGCACCCUGACCGCCCUUCCGCACCCCAACCCUUGCCCCAGCCUGGUGAAAGUGAGUGAGUGUGGGGGAGACUGAGCGAUGGAGGUAGCGGGGUUGGAGUGGGGGCAGGGUCUUGGAGAAGGGGCAGAUCGAGGGUGUUUGGGUUUGUGCGAUUAGACAAUUGCAGCUUUGACCCCUCUUUUCCUCCCCAUACUCUCCUGCACUGCUCCGCCCUCCCUUCUUUAGAAGCAGUAGCCUGGUUGGGGCAGGACAGAGACUUGAUGUUCCUUCCACGGAUCAGGCAGGAACUGUUGAGGGCUGGAAGGCAGGAAUGAGGGCGGGUAUUAGGUAACUCCACACUGACCUUCCCCUCCAAAUAUGUUACUGCAGGAGAGCAUGCCCAACUUUCUCCCUGUAUGACAUCUGCUCUGUCAGCACUACUAAGUUCCCACUGAGCAAACGUCCCUUUGACGAGGGAUCGCAACUGCCAAAAAAACAAACACACGGCAGCAAGUGUCAAAGUCCAGGUCAACUGCUCGGGCUCACCCUCUGAGGCUGAAAAUAGCAGGGUAGACAUUCCUACUUGGGCUGGAGCCCAAGCUGUGAAACCCAGCAACAGGAGGUGGUCUCGGAGCUCAGGUUCCAGCCCGAGCUGGAACAUAUACACUCCUUUUUUUUCACCCUGUAAGUGCAAGCUCCAUGAGCCCGAGUCACUUGACCUGGGCUCUGAGACUUGCUGCUGUGGGGGUUUUAUUGUGUGUAGACGUACUCCAUAGAAAAGCUACAUUUUUUGGAAACGCAGUUCUAGUGAAGGCUCUAGUCCUCACACUGGGUUUUCAAAAAAAUUUGUUUGGAAGAUCUCCUACGCUAGGAAGGGUCAUUGUCUCUGGGUGUUCUGGCCCCUCAUUAGCUGUGCCUGAGCUAGGUCUAAGGGCAAAGGUUAGCAAAGGGGCAGACCCCACAGCCUGCAUCUUAAAGAAGUAGCAAAGGGUGUGGUCCCUAUUUCUUUAAAUCCUUAAUUGCACAUGAUUUUAAUGAUGGGUCUCUGAGACUGUGGUAGCAAAAGACUCCAGUAACUGCUCUUUCAAAUGUCUCUCCAAUGAUGGCUUGGCUCAGCUUUCUCUGAAUUUUCCAGCCACCAUUGCUCUCUGUGCAUCAGAGAUUUAAGAACUCUUCACCCAUUCAGGGUUCGGAAUUGCCCACUCUUGAUUUCUUCAAUUCCAUCCCUUUCCCCAAAAUCUGGGAGCAUAGCUAGGCUGGGCAGUGUGCGCUGAAGAUCAACAGACCCAGGCUCUGUCAGACCAAGAGUGGGGAAGUGAGUUCCAGAGUUGAAGUGUCCGUCCCCCCCCCGACAAUGCCCUUCCAUUUAAAGCAGAAGGUCUGCCAGCUUGAGUGCUUCUGCUGCUCGGGUGUCACCUGGGGAGGUAAAGAGACCUGGGAAACAGAGCACGGAGCUGGGGCUCUGGAGAACUAUUUGCAGCUGUGCCCAAGCUCACCCAGCCGGUCAGUGGCUGGCAGCAAGUCACUUCCCCUCUCGGCUUCCUUUAAAGCACUGCUGAAUAACACUCUAUGAAAGCGAGGUAUUGUUAUUGAUAAUGUAGAUGUGUAGAAGUCAUGCACAUCUACUGCUGAAAAGCACGUGGUCAGAGCUUGUUAUUAUUCUUCACACCAGGAGAAAGGCGCUCCCAAAGGACGCCAGGUCCCACACAGCUCCAGAGUCUAUACAAAAUGCUCUUCUACGUCUGUAGCGCUCUUUAUUUGUAUGCAGCAAAGCGGUACUGAUACGCUUGCACAUGUUCCUGGAGACAGCUGCUUCAGUUUGCAAGCCCAAAAUACAGGGUUCUGUUGCUCACUCUGCAUUAUGGGGUUGGUUUGCUGUGAAACUAUACCAGGCCUUGUUUCAUUCAGACACAGGGAGUGAGUGCAGACUCCAUGCGAAUUAUUGCUGUGCGAGUGUGAGUGAGAGGGGGAUGAGAGCAGGGGGACCCAUGGGGAAGGUGAUGUCUGAAACUGUUUGCUGGCAGCCUAGCAUGCAGAAGCUGAGGUGACUCUGGAAGGCUGGAAAUAGUGAUAAUUUGUCCUGGGAAGCAAAGUUGAUCUGAUUGAGCCUGUCUGGAUGGUGAAGUCCUGCCACAAUGUGUCGGACUGGACUCUGAGGAAAGAUUUCCCUAUUGUUGAUGGCUGUUUAGUGUCCAUAAUGUGCUUGGUGCUGUACAAGACACAAAGAGCAACCCUUCUCUGAAGAGCUCAGCAACGCUGAGGGUUGUAUAAACUGGGGAAUUUAGAAGAGGGAAUUCAGAGCCCUAGUAGGGCUUUUGGGUUCUUCCUUGUACAGAGAUGAACUGGUUUUUGUGGGCUUUGGAGAAGAAGUGGGUUUUUAAGAGGAAAUGAGUGAAGAGUGGGGUUAACAGCCUUGAACAGGGAUUGGUAUACCACACCUAGGGUACAGCACGGUAAAAUGUAGGGAGAUAGGAAUGGGACAGAGAAAGAGCAGGGAUUCAAGACUGGUCAGCCCGUGAAACCUUGUUAGGGGUUGAGUUGAAACCACAUUCAAACUGACAUGUGCACACAAGACCUUCAGUUAAGAUAGACAUCCGGGACAGUUAAGGAGGCCACACUUAAAACAAAGCCUAAUAGAGUCUGCCUAGAAACUAGUACUGGGUAUUGUGACCAGGUGCAAUGACUGUGCGUGCGAGAGGAAUGACACAAACUGAGAACAGACAAGAACCGAGAGAGAGGCUGAGGCAGAAAGCAAAGAGGGCCUCUAGCUCUGGAACUCACCACCCCACUCGUGGGCUGAUAGAGCCUGCCCCUGUUGACUCUUAAGGCAUACUGCAAAGUUGAUC